rnacentral:other from 1 species
CGCCCUCUGUGGUGUUCGCCAGCGGGCCGCUCAAUGCCUUGUCCCUACUUAUUGACCUGGGGGCAGCCGAUCAGAGUGCCGGUGUGCAUGUUCGCUUAAAGCGAAAAGCCUGAGGCCUCGUAAGCAGUCCCACCUGAACCUAUGGUUCAAGGUCACCGGCCCGUAGCGGCACCACGGAGGGUUU